GAUGAACGCUGACAGAAUGCUUAACACAUGCAAGUCUACUUGAACUUCGGUUUGGGUGGCGGACGGGUGAGUAACGCGUAAAGAACUUGCCUCACAGUUAGGGACAACAUUUGGAAACGAAUGCUAAUACCUGAUAUUAUGAUUUUAGGGCAUCCUAGGAUUAUGAAAGCUAUAUGUGCUGUGAGAGAGCUUUGCGUCCCAUUAGCUAGUUGGAGAGGUAACGGCUCACCAAGGCGAUGAUGGGUAGCCGGCCUGAGAGGGUGAACGGCCACAAGGGGACUGAGACACGGCCCUUACUCCUACGGGAGGCAGCAGUGGGUAAUAUUGGACAAUGGACCAAAAGUCUGAUCCAGCAAUUCUGUGUGCACGAUGACGUUUUUCGGAAUGUAAAGUGCUUUCAGUUGGGAAGAAAAAAAUGACGGUACCAACAGAAGAAGUGACGGCUAAAUACGUG
rnacentral:rRNA from 1 species